CGUCCGUCGUGAAGAGGGAAACAACCCAGACCGCCAGCUAAGGUCCCAAAGUCAUGGUUAAGUGGGAAACGAUGUGGGAAGGCCCAGACAGCCAGGAUGUUGGCUUAGAAGCAGCCAUCAUUUAAAGAAAGCGUAAUAGCUCACUGGUCGAGUCGGCCUGCGCGGAAGAUGUAACGGGGCUAAACCAUGCACCGAAGCUGCGGCAGCGACACUAUGUGUUGUUGGGUAGGGGAGCGUUCUGUAAGCCUGUGAAGGUGGCCUGUGAGGGUUGCUGGAGGUAUCAGAAGUGCGAAUGCUGACAUAAGUAACGAUAAAGCGGGUGAAAAGCCCGCUCGCCGGAAGACCAAGGGUUCCUGUCCAACGUUAAUCGGGGCAGGGUGAGUCGACCCCUAAGGCGAGGCCGAAAGGCGUAGUCGAUGGGAAACAGGUUAAUAUUCCUGUACUUGGUGUUACUGCGAAGGGGGGACGGAGAAGGCUAUGUUGGCCGGGCGACGGUUGUCCCGGUUUAAGCGUGUAGGCUGGUUUUCCAGGCAAAUCCGGAAAACCAAGGCUGAGGCGUGAUGACGAGGCACUACGGUGCUGAAGUGACAAAUGCCCUGCUUCCAGGAAAAGCCUCUAAGCAUCAGGUAACAUCAAAUCGUACCCCAAACCGACACAGGUGGUCAGGUAGAGAAUACCAAGGCGCUUGAGAGAACUCGGGUGAAGGAACUAGGCAAAAUGGUGCCGUAACUUCGGGAGAAGGCACGCUGAUAUGUAGGUGAAGCGACUUGCUCGUGGAGCUGAAAUCAGUCGAAGAUACCAGCUGGCUGCAACUGUUUAUUAAAAACACAGCACUGUGCAAACACGAAAGUGGACGUAUACGGUGUGACGCCUGCCCGGUGCCGGAAGGUUAAUUGAUGGGGUUAGCGGUAACGCGAAGCUCUUGAUCGAAGCCCCGGUAAACGGCGGCCGUAACUAUAACGGUCCUAAGGUAGCGAAAUUCCUUGUCGGGUAAGUUCCGACCUGCACGAAUGGCGUAAUGAUGGCCAGGCUGUCUCCACCCGAGACUCAGUGAAAUUGAACUCGCUGUGAAGAUGCAGUGUACCCGCGGCAAGACGGAAAGACCCCGUGAACCUUUACUAUAGCUUGACACUGAACAUUGAGCCUUGAUGUGUAGGAUAGGUGGGAGGCUUUGAAGUGUGGACGCCAGUCUGCAUGGAGCCGACCUUGAAAUACCACCCUUUAAUGUUUGAUGUUCUAACGUUGGCCCCUAAUCGGGGUUGCGGACAGUGUCUGGUGGGUAGUUUGACUGGGGCGGUCUCCUCCUAAAGAGUAACGGAGGAGCACGAAGGUUGGCUAAUCCUGGUCGGACAUCAGGAGGUUAGUGCAAUGGCAUAAGCCAGCUUGACUGCGAGCGUGACGGCGCGAGCAGGUGCGAAAGCAGGUCAUAGUGAUCCGGUGGUUCUGAAUGGAAGGGCCAUCGCUCAACGGAUAAAAGGUACUCCGGGGAUAACAGGCUGAUACCGCCCAAGAGUUCAUAUCGACGGCGGUGUUUGGCACCUCGAUGUCGGCUCAUCACAUCCUGGGGCUGAAGUAGGUCCCAAGGGUAUGGCUGUUCGCCAUUUAAAGUGGUACGCGAGCUGGGUUUAGAACGUCGUGAGACAGUUCGGUCCCUAUCUGCCGUGGGCGCUGGAGAACUGAGGGGGGCUGCUCCUAGUACGAGAGGACCGGAGUGGACGCAUCACUGGUGUUCGGGUUGUCAUGCCAAUGGCACUGCCCGGUAGCUAAAUGCGGAAGAGAUAAGUGCUGAAAGCAUCUAAGCACGAAACUUGCCCCGAGAUGAGUUCUCCCUGAGACUUAGAGUCUCCUGAAGGAACGUUGAAGACGACGACGUUGAUAGGCCGGGUGUGUAAGCGCAGCGAUGCGUUGAGCUAACCGGUACUAAUGAACCGUGAGGCUUAACCUUACAACGCCGAAG
rnacentral:rRNA from 1 species